rnacentral:rRNA from 1 species
GACGUAGGGGGCCAGCGUUGUUCGGAAUUACUGGGUGUAAAGGGUUCGUAGGCGGUGUGGCAAGUCGGGAGUGAAAUCUCUGGGCUCAACUCAGAGACUGCUUCCGAAACUGCUGUGCUGGAGUGUGGGAGAGGCGCGUGUGAUUGCAGGUGUAGCGGUGAAAUGCGUAGAUAUCGGGAGGAACACCAGUGGCGAAGGCGGCAACCUGGACAGAUAUUGACGCUGAUGUGCGAAAGCGUGGGGAGCAAACAGG